CAAACUGCGAUAAACCCAUUCGUAGAAAAUCUUAUCUUGUUGGCGCUGGUUAACCACCUCCAAAAAGUUCGUCCAUUACACAUUAGUGAGCUCUUAUCUCAACGUGCCUAGAUCUUGAUUUUGACGUGACACUGGUGGCGUGUAGAUAUUUUCUCAGCCUGGUAAAGAACAGGCUGUGGGAGUAUGUGCGUCGUGUGUGUUUUGAAAGUUAGAAAAAGGGUCAGAGGACCGUCUUCUGCACGGCUCCAGCGCACCUUCCAACACAACAGGGACAGCAUAGGAAAAGAAAGGACCUUCUGGAAAUCGGCGAAAGGUCCAGGACGAAUACUGUUUAUUGAGUUUAUUCGCGGGAUGAGAGGAAGAGAGAGAAGAAAAACUUGGGCAUGGGAGUAGAAGCGGAGACAUAUAUGAGCAAACCAUAGAUACAAUAAAUUUUUAUGCACUUAUAA